GACGAACGCUGGCGGCGUGCUUAACACAUGCAAGUCGAACGGUGAUGCUCCAGCUUGCUGGAGUGGAUCAGUGGCGAACGGGUGAGUAACACGUGAGCAACCUGCCCCAGACUCUGGAAUAAGCGCUGGAAACGGCGUCUAAUACUGGAUACGAAACUGGCCCGCAUGGGCAUGGUUUGGAAAGUUUUUCGGUUUGGGAUGGGCUCGCGGCCUAUCAGCUUGUUGGUGAGGUACUGGCUCACCAAGGCGACGACGGGUAGCCGGCCUGAGAGGGCGACCGGCCACACUGGGACUGCGACACGGCCCAGACUCCUACGGGAGGCAGCAGUGGGGAAUAUUGCACAAUGGGCGCAAGCCUGAUGCAGCGACGCCGCGUGAGGGAUGACGGCCUUCGGGUUGUAAACCUCUUUCAGCAGGGAAGAAGCGAAAGUGACGGUACCUGCAGAAGAAGCACCGGCUAACUACGUG
rnacentral:rRNA from 1 species